CAGCCGCCGCGGUAAUACCAGCUCUCCGAGUGGUGUGGACGUUUAUUGGGCCUAAAGCAUCCGUAGCUGGCUGAACAAGUCCCCUGUUAAACCCACCGAUUUAAUCGUUGGCGUGCGGGGGAUACUGCUUGGCUAGGGGACGAGAGAGGCAGACGGUAUUCCCGGGGUAGGGGUGAAAUCCUAUAAUCCCGAGAAGACCACCAGUGGCGAAGGCUGUCUGCUAGAACGCGCCCGACGGUGAGGGAUGAAAGCUGGGGGAGCGAACCGGAUUAGAUACCCGGGUAGUCCCAGCUGUAAACGAUGCAGACUAGGUGUUUGGACGGCCCACGUGCGUUCUAGUGCCGCAGGGAAGCUGUUAAGUCUGCCGCCUGGGGAGUACGAUCGCAAGGUUGGAACUUAAAGGAAUUGGCGGGGGAGCA
rnacentral:rRNA from 1 species